UAAUUAGAUGAAUUUUUUAUAUUUUAAAAAAUUUAUUAUGAAUUUAUUUUACAUAUAAAUUUUAGUGUAUAAUUUUAAUUAUUUUAAUAAUAAUUAAUUAUUUUUAUAGUAAUUAAAAUUAAAAAUUUAAGAAAUUAAGAUUUAGUAAUAUAAAAAUUAAUAACUAAUUUUGUGCCAGCAGUUGCGGUUAAACAAAAGUUAAAUUAAAUUAAUUCAGUAUAUAAUUAAUAUAUUAAUAAUUAUUAAAAUAAAUAUUAAAUUAUUAAGUGAAAUUUUAAUUUAAUUAAAUUUUAAAUUAAAAUUAUGAUUUAGUAAAUUUAAUUAUAAACUAGGAUUAGAUACCCUAUUAUUAAAAAUUUAAUUAAAAAUACUAAAAUAGUAAAUAAUUUUUUAUUGAAACUUAAAUAAUAUGGCGGUAUUUUAGUUCAUUUAGAGGAAUCUGUCUAAUAAUUGAUAAUCCACGAAUAAAUUUACUUAAUUUAAUAUUUUGUAUAUCAUUGUUAAAAAAAUAUUUUUUAAUAAUAAAUAAUAUUUUAAAAUUUAUAAUAAAAAUCAAUUCAGAUCAAGAUGCAGAUUAUAAUUAAGAUUAAGAUGGAUUACAAUAAAAUUAUUUAAAUGGAAAAAAAUUUGUAAUAAUUAAUUGAAAGUGGAUUUAAAUGUAAUUUUAAUUAAUUUAUUAAAAUGAUUAAAAAUUAAAAUAUGUACAUAUUGCCCGUCACUUUCAUUUAAAAAUUGAAAUAAGUCGUAACAAAGUAGAGGUACUGGAAAGUGUUUCUAGAAAGA
rnacentral:ncRNA from 1 species